CCUACGGGGGGCAGCAGUGAGGAAUCUUGCCCAAUGGGGGAAACCCUGAGGCAGCAACGCCGCGUGAAGGAAGACGGUCUUCGGAUUGUAAACUUCUUUUGCCAGGAAAGAAGGCGAGGCAACUCGCUUGACGGUACCUGGCGAAUCAGACACGGCUAACUACGUGCCAGCAGCCGCGGUAAUACGUAGGUGUCGAGCGUUAUCCGGAAUUACUGGGCGUAAAGGGCACGCAGGCGGUGAGAUGGGUCCCCUGUGAAAGCGCUCGGCUCAACCGAGCGAGGCCUGGGGAAACUAUCUGACUUGAGCCAGUGAGAGGGAAGCGGAAUUCCCGGUGGAGUGGUGGAAUGCGUAGAGAUCGGGAAGAACACCAGAGGCGCAAGCGGCUUCCUGGCACUGGGCUGACGCUGAGGUGCGAAAGCGUGGGGAGCCAACGGGAUUAG
rnacentral:rRNA from 1 species